CCUAUCACAGCAUCUGACUAGUUCUUUGUUGGUUGGUUCAACUCAGUGGUGAGCUGAUACCAAACCCCAGGUCUGCAGAGUCAUUCUACAUACAAAUGGCUGUAUGCUGAAAUUGGAAAAGAC
ensembl:snoRNA